rnacentral:rRNA from 1 species
UACGUUCCCGGGCCCUUGUACACACCGCCCGUCAAGCCAUGGAAGCUGGGGGUGCCUGAAGUCGGUGACCGCAAGGAGCUGCCUAGGGUAAAACUGGUAACUAGGGCU